rnacentral:lncRNA from 1 species
UCUCAGAUCUCCAAAACGACGAGAAUUCUCACAACACGAUUCCGUGUCCGGCAUUGUAGUCUCUAUUUGAAGUGAUUUUUUUACUGGGUUUUCUUAUCUUUGGCUAAUUUCUCACAGGCACAGUUGACAAAAUCUCAAAUAAGCUUAAUAUAAAAAAUAAAUAACUGGAUUUCUACGAGACCCAUUUGGCUAAAAGUAAAAAUACAAUCUUCUGGUUCAAAAAUUGAUAAUUUAAUGGUGAAUUCAUCGAAUCCUCGCAGACCAACUUGCCAAGUAACAAUGAUAUCUAUCACAAAAAUAAAAAUAAAAAUCAGACUUUUGCCCAACACACAAAAUCUUAUCCUUUUAAGCUCAUCCAAUAUUAUCAAAAAUCAAGCAACGAAAACUGAAACAAUGGAAAAAAUGGAAAGGGUUUUGCCUGGAGAAAAUAUUGUCUACUGUAGAGUUUUUGGAGAAAACAGAAAUAUAGUGGAAGAGCAAAUCAAGGCCGACGGAAAAUUACCUAGGUGGUGGGCGAGAAAUUGAGAGAGAAAUGCAGCAAUAUGUAUUUGCUUUAGCUGUCAUCCAACCAAUCAAAUAAUUUUCUUCUAUUUUUCUUCUUUUACUUUUUGUAUUGUAUUCAUUGUAUGAUUGAGAAAGAGAGAAGAAAUCAGAAGUUUGUUUUUAUUGGGAUUUUCCUUUUUUAUUAUUUUUUUUUCUUUU